ACGUCUGAAGAGAGAAAAUGGAUGAUUUUCGAAUUUAUUCCAAUGUUUUUACCAGCUCGAGUGAGGUUAUUCCCGAAGGUGGUUUUGCACCUGCCGCGUAGCCCAGAGCCAAUAUUUUCCAGAUUUGGUUGUUUUUCCAAAAUUUCACCGGAAUUUCAUCGAAAUUUGGUCCAAGGGCCGUCGCAGUAUCGGGAGGCGUUGAUUUCCCUGAUUUUAUCGUGCCCCGCGGCAAAUAGUUUUUUCUCCCAAAUAUCCGAUGGACUUUUCGUCCGGAAAACUGACACAGCAGGAUUGACGUGCAUUCGGAGCCUCGGUUUGGUGAAAGACUUUUUUUCACAGUUGAAAAUUCAGACGCACGUUAUUAACUCUUGUAAUCGAGCAAGCGAUAGAAGCGUUAUCGGGACUGGUCUUGUUGCGUAAAUUAGCGACCUUUCGCAGGCGAAGAUCUACGCGAGGACGGUCGUCGGAGCGGCGCGUGGAUAUCGGCGACGAAAGCGAGCGAGCGAUACUCCUCGACGAUGAGUAACUCCGUCGGAGAUAAUGGGAGUGAGGACGAAUUAGAAAUGGGAUCGAAGAGAGUCGAGCGAGAGUCAGGGGAUCGAUAGAUCGCCGUUGCCAAGUGCCCCAGGAGGGAGCGCGUGCGAUCCCGGUGCUGGGAGGAUGACGCCGCGGGUCACCGGGUCUCAAGAUAACAUCGAGAAGCGUCGCAUCCUUCCGAGAAAUUGAAAUCGGCGCUGCCAGCUAAAAAAUUGUUGCAAUCGUUUUUGUAUCUCUCCGAUUCGGCUCCAGACACCGCUUUAGGGAUUCUUCGGAGACGCAGCGCCCCAGCGGUCCGGCCUCGUCGCCACUCUCCGCCUACUGCGCAGCUCGAUCUCUCGGCCCCGGAUCUACCGUGCAGCUCCCACUACUCUCGUCGCCCUGAGUCGUUGUCCCCGGAGCUCUGCGCCGAGUUCCGUAACCCUCUUGAGGCUCCGCAUUCAUGGGAAUUGGAAGGCGGAAAAAAGGCAAUGAAUUUUACAAGCUUUUUCGGCUUAUUAGGGCCGCCGGGCCAGGCUCUAAAAGUUUCGACUUAGACGACUCGGCUACCAUAAUUCCUCGCGGCUUGAGCUUCGCCUCAGGACAGAUAAACUGUGACCGUUGACCCGAUGACGAACAAUCGAGACGAGAGUCCAAACUUGAUCCAACUUACUCGCCCUCCCAUUGUCACUCACUCCCUCCACUCUUUCUAUCAACGUUUCUAACGGACUCCAUCUCCCUCCGCCUCAUACCGAUUAGUAGCGCUAGUACGCGGGAUCACGUGUGCAAGUAUUCGACGACGGGGAAGACAUUAAUUCGUAUCAUUGGAACUACUCGCUCGGCACGUCGCGUCGCUCGCUCAGCCCCUUCAAAACGAUGAGGAUUAUGAUUGUAAUCGUAUUUUUUUUUUUUUUAUACGAUGUUGAAUACGCUGGGUGGGGUUCGAUAUGCCGAAUAACCCAAUUGGGGAACGCUCGAUCAUGUCAGAUUGGGGAUAAAUUCGAAAUUUUUAUUCUUCAUUGACUGUCUAGCAGAUUUGUGUUCAAUCGAAUGUUCGUUCUUUAAGGAGUUUCGGUACAGACGAUACAAUGUUGCCAUGCUAAU
rnacentral:lncRNA from 1 species